UUCUGUUCACCUUGGUAUUAUUAAAUCUUACACUUGAAGUUAGAGCUUCAAUUGUCCUUUAAUUCUUCACCUCGUCUAGAUUUUCAGAACAGAUAUAGAAUGGUGCCCUAUGUUUAGCAGGCUAAAAACAUUGUUGCUCAGUGACUGGUGUAUGGCUCAGUACUUCCAUGGACUAGUUUUCUUUCUCAAGCACUCACCGAUUCUAGAGAGGCUUACCCUUGAACACUGUACUUUAUCUAAGCAAUGGUAUGAUACCACGACUGAAACCUACAAGCCAAAGGACAAAUUCUUGGUAUCAAAGCAUCUCAAGGCAGUCGAAAUCAAUCAUGUGAAAGGUGAUAAAAGGAUUCACCUAUUAUUGAAGGUCCUUGCUUUCCAUGGAGUAUAUUCGGAACUAAUAAACUUUAAAGAGAAGUAUACUUCUUAACGCUUCAGUUUCCAGCAUGAAUUGUAGUUCAGACCGUCUACUAUGGCUUCUCUAUCCAGACGCCCAUGUCCAUGAAUGAUUCACCAUAAGGUACUCUGCGUGUUGUCAGCUGAGAUCGCGCGUCUGCCCAUCAUGUCUGUUCACAUGAACUCGUGUCCUCAACCCGGCCAGACUCAGGCACUCAAGCCUGACCUGAUUAAAUUGCUGAAGUCCAACGUUUAUUUCGUUCUUUCAAGUACAACUUCUGUAAUAAGGAGUAGCAUCUAAAGACUACUAUAAAGUAAACUUUGAUGACACCUGGAAAGCUGUUUUAGUUGCUUUGUGGUGAUUGUUUGAGUACCCUGCAUAGGUUGCUUCAAAUUUGUUCA